rfam:Candidatus Atribacteria bacterium CG2_30_33_13 cg2_3.0_scaffold_15400_c, whole genome shotgun sequence.
GGAAUCCCGUCUGGUAAGGCUUAACCAGCCACCAGUAGUUAGCCUUGGAGGAUAGUAGGUAACUAUUAUCUUUAAGCGUAGGCAAACAAGGUAGCAGGCCGAAAGCAUAUGUCUGAAGGGAUUGAGCCCCGAAAGCACCAUGAAGUUAGGAAGGCUGAUGUGGUGACCGAUGCAGAAAGCUAUAUUUUGGUAAUCGUUAUGGUAAGAUUAUCAAGACUUCCUCGGGGUCUAAGACCU